UACGGAGGGAGCUAGCGUUAAUCGGAAUUACUGGGCGUAAAGCGUGCGCAGGCGGUUGUGCAAGACCGAUGUGAAAUCCCCGGGCUUAACCUGGGAAUGGCAUUGGUGACUGCACGGCUAGAGUGUGUCAGAGGGGGUAGAAUUCCACGUGUGAGCAGUGAAAUGCGUAGAGAUGUGGAGGAAUACCGAUGGCGAAGGCAGCCCCCUGGGAUAACACUGACGCUCAUGCACGAAAGCGUGGGAGCAAACAGG
rnacentral:rRNA from 1 species